GCCAUUGAUAUUGUCCUGUCACAGCAGUAUUGUAACACUAUAUUAUAGUUUACUGCUGGGUCGGGGCAUUAACAUUGUU
rfam:Drosophila melanogaster chromosome 3R.